UCCGGGGUGUAACUGACGCUAAUGCUCGAAAGUGCGGGUAUCAAACAGGAUUAGAUACCCUGGUAGUCCGCACAGUAAACGAUGGAUACCCGCAGUCGGCGACACAAUGUCGGCUGCCAAGCGAAAGCAUUAAGUAUCCCACCUGGGGAGUACGCCGGCAACGGUGAAACUCAAAGGAAUUGACGGGGGCCCGCACAAGCGGAGGAACAUGUGGUUUAAUUCGAUGAUACGCGAGGAACCUUACCCGGGCUUGAAUUGCAGGCGACGGGGCGAGAGAUUGCCCUUUCUUCGGACGCCUGUGAAGGUGCUGCAUGGUUGUCGUCAGCUCGUGCCGUGAGGUGUCGGCUCAAGUGCCAUAACGAGCGCAACCCCUGUCUCCAGUUGCCAUCAGGUGAUGCUGGGCACUCUGGAGAUACUGCCAUCGCAAGAUGUGAGGAAGGUGGGGAUGACGUCAAAUCAGCACGGCCCUUACGUCCGGGGCUACACACGUGUUACAAUGGGGGACACAGAGGGCCGCCACCGGGUGACCGGGCGCCAAUCCAUCAAAAUCCCUCUCAGUUCGGACUGGAGUCUGCAACCCGACUCCACGAAGCUGGAUUC
rnacentral:rRNA from 1 species